rnacentral:tRNA from 2 species
GGUGAUUAGCUCAGUUGGUAGAGCAGCUGACUCUUAAUCAGCGGGUCGUAGGUUCGAGCCCUACAUCACCCACCA